AGCUUAAAUUUUGAAACUUCAAUGCUCGUUAUCGGUUAAGAACUGGCCAUGGACUUCUCGUAAUGGAUCAUUGGAUCCUUCCGAAAAAAAUCCCUAAAAAGCAUAUCAAUCAAAGCAAUCGAAUCAAAAGACAAGCGGGAGACGAGCUUCUUGAAGUCACACAGCCAUUGAUUGAUCAUGUAAAGACCUUCGCGGUCGAUAAUUUCAAGGAUUUCCGUCUCUAAGACGAUAACGGAGUUACUGAUGCUGAUGCGAUU